GUGCCCACUUUGGCAGCGCAUUUACUAAAAAUUGGAAAGAUACAGAGAAGAUUAGCAUAGCCCUUGCACGAGGAUCACAUGCAAGUUUGUGGAGCGUUUUAUAUUUCU
rnacentral:snRNA from 1 species